rnacentral:tRNA from 2 species
GUCUUCGUGGCUCAGUCGGUAGAGCGUUGGUCUCAUAAUCCAAAGGUCGAGAGUUCGAGCCUCUCCGAGGACA